rnacentral:rRNA from 1 species
GAUGAACGCUGGCGGCGUGCCUAAUACAUGCAAGUCGAGCGAACGGACGAGAAGCUUGCUUUUCUGAUGUUAGCGGCGGACGGGUGAGUAACACGUGGAUAACCUACCUAUAAGACUGGGAUAACUUCGGGAAACCGGAGCUAAUACCGGAUAAUAUUUUGAACCGCAUGGUUCAAAAGUGAAAGACGGUCUUGCUGUCACUUAUAGAUGGAUCCGCGCUGCAUUAGCUAGUUGGUAAGGUAACGGCUUACCAAGGCAACGAUGCAUAGCCGACCUGAGAGGGUGAUCGGCCACACUGGAACUGAGACACGGUCCAGAGUCCUACGGGAGGCAGCAGUAGGGAAUCUUCCGCAAUGGGCGAAAGCCUGACGGAGCAACGCCGCGUGAGUGAUGAAGGUCUUCGGAUCGUAAAACUCUGUUAUUAGGGAAGAACAUAUGUGUAAGUAACUGUGCACAUCUUGACGGUACCUAAUCAGAAAGCCACGGCUAACUACGUG